rnacentral:rRNA from 1 species
CGGGAAACCGGAGCUAAUACCGAUAAUAUUUCGAACCGCAUGGUUCGAUAGUGAAAGGUGGUUUGCUAUCACUUAUAGAUGGACCCGCGCCGUAUUAGCUAGUUGGUAAGGUAACGGCUUACCAAGGCGACGAUACGUAGCCGACCUGAGAGGGUGAUCGGCCACACUGGAACUGAGACACGGUCCAGACUCCUACGGGAGGCAGCAGUU